rnacentral:rRNA from 1 species
ACGGGGAUUACACGGCGAUGCGAUUUCGGUCAAAUCAAGUGCAAUCUUAGUGGCGGACGGGUGAGUAACGCGUGGGUAACCUGCCUUGCACUGGAGGGAUAACACUUAGAAAUAGGUGCUAAUACCGCAUAAGCGCACGGUCCUGCAUGGGACAGUGUGAAAAACUCCGGUGGUGCAAGAUGGACCCGCGUCUGAUUAGCUGGUUGGCGGGGUAAAGGCCCACCAAGGCGACGAUCAGUAGCCGGCCUGAGAGGGUGGACGGCCACAUUGGGACUGAGACACGGCCCAAACUCCUACGGGAGGCAGCAGUGGGGGAUAUUGGACAAUGGGGGGAACCCUGAUCCAGCGACGCCGCGUGAGUGAAGAAGUAUUUCGGUAUGUAAAGCUCUGUCAGCAGGGAAGAAAGCAAUGACGGUACCUGACCAAGAAGCCCCGGCUAACUACGUGCCAGCAGCCGCGGUAAUACGUAGGGGGCAAGCGUUAUCCGGAAUUACUGGGUGUAAAGGGAGCGUAGACGGCUGUGCAAGUCUGGAGUGAAAGGCGGGGGCCCAACCCCCGGACUGCUCUGGAAACUGUAUGGCUGGAGUGCAGGAGAGGUAAGGCGGAAUUCCCUAUUGUAGCGUGAAAAUGCGUAGAUAUUAGGAGGAACACCAGUGGCGAAGGCGGCUUACUGGACUGUAACUGACGUUGAGGCUCGAAAGCGUGGGGAGCAAACAGGAUUAGAUACCCUGGUAGUCCACGCCGUAAACGAUGAUUACUAGGUGUCGGAGGGUAUGGACCCUCCGGUGCCGCAGCAAACGCAGUAAGUAAUCCACCUGGGGAGUACGUUCGCAAGAAUGAAACUCAAAGGAAUUGACGGGGACCCGCACAAGCGGUGGAGCAUGUGGUUUAAUCCGAAGCAACGCGAAGAACCUUACCAAGUCUUGACAUCUGGAUGACAGGGACGUAACGGUCCCCUUACUUCGGUACAUCCAAGACAGGUGGUGCAUGGUUGUCGUCAGCUCGUGUCGUGAGAUGUUGGGUUAAGUCCCGCAACGAGCGCAACCCUUAUCCUUAGUAGCCAGCGGGCAGGGCCGGGCACUCUAGGGAGACUGCCGGGGAUAACCCGGAGGAAGGUGGGGAUGACGUCAAAUCAUCAUGCCCCUUAUGAUUUGGGCUACACACGUGCUACAAUGGCGUAAACAGAGGGAAGCGAACCCGCGAGGGGGAGCAAAUCCCAAAAAUAACGUCCCAGUUCGGAUUGUAGCCUGCAACCCGGCUACAUGAAGCUGGAAUCGCUAGUAAUC